rnacentral:rRNA from 1 species
AUACGGAGGGGGCUAGCGUUGUUCGGAAUUACUGGGCGUAAAGGGCGCGUAGGCGGAUUGUCAAGUCAGAGGUGAAAGCCCUGGGCUCAACCCGGGAACUGCCUUUGAAACUAACAGUCUUGAGUCCGAGAGAGGAUGGCGGAAUUCCCAGUGUAGAGGUGAAAUUCGUAGAUAUUGGGAAGAACACCAGUGGCGAAGGCGGCCAUCUGGCUCGGUACUGACGCUGAGGCGCGAAAGCGUGGGGAGCAAACAGGAUUAGAAACCCCAGUAGUCC